UGAGGAAUUUUCCGCAAUGGGCGAAAGCCUGACGGAGCAAUGCCGCGUGGAGGAAGACGGUCUGUGGAUCUUAAACUCCUUUUCUCAGAGAAGAACAAAAUGACGGUAUCUGAGGAAUAAGCUCCGGCUAACCCCGUGCCAGCAGCCGCGGUAAUACGGGGGGAGCAAGCGUUAUCCGGAAUGAUUGGGCGUAAAGCAUUCGUAGGUGGUAGAUGAAGUCUACUGUCAAAUACCAGGGCUCAACCUUGGACAGGCAGUGGAGUACUCAUUUACUAGAGCGUGGUAGAGGUAGAGGGAAUUCCCCGUGGAGCGGUGAAAUGCGUAGAGAUGGGGAAGAACACCGGUGGCGAAAGCGCUCUACUGGGCCAAGGCUGACACUGAGGGAUGAAAGCUGGGGGAGCAAAUAG
rnacentral:rRNA from 1 species